UACGGAGGGGCUAGCGUUGUUCGGAAUUACUGGGCGUAAAGCGCACGUAGGCGGCUUUGUAAGUUAGAGGUGAAAAGCCCAGGGCUUAACCCUGGAAUUGCCUUUAAGACUGCAUCGCUAGAAUCGUGGAGAGGUGAGUGGAAUUCCGAGUGUAGAGGUGAAAUUCGUAGAUAUUCGGAAGAACACCAGUGGCGAAGGGCGACAUACUGGUCCAGCACCGACGUUCAGGCACGAA
rnacentral:rRNA from 1 species